CAGGGAAAGCAGGCUCUGUUGAGCUUUACUGUAAUCUUGCAGUGUUAUGAAACAUAUAAGUGUAGAAUAAGUGAGAGAUGGCUUGCUAUUACAAUGAAAUACCACAAUUCUUAUUGUUUCCUUACUUACUUGAUAAAUGGAACGUGUAUUCUCAUAUAGCCAAUAGAUAUAUUAUUAUAUUUCAUGGCAUUUUAUUUUAGUACCAUCCAAAUAUAAAAGAUUUGUUAUAUAGUCCAAACUAAUAUUUUAAAUAUAGUCCCCCCCCCCCCCCCCCCCCCCCCCCCCCC
rnacentral:ncRNA from 1 species